UACGAAGGGGGCUAGCGUUGUUCGGAUUACUGGGCGUAGAGCGCACGUAGGCGGAUCGAUCAGUCAGGGGUGAAAUCCCAGAGCUCAACUCUGGAACUGCCUUUGAUACUGUCGAUCUGGAGUAUGGAAGAGGUGAGUGGAAUUCCGAGUGUAGAGGUGAAAUUCGUAGAUAUUCGGAGGAACACCAGUGGCGAAGGCGGCUCACUGGUCCAUUACUGACGCUGAGGUGCGAAAGCGUGGGGAGCAAACAGG
rnacentral:rRNA from 1 species